UCUUUUCUGAUAACUAACCACUCAACUAAUUAAUGGGGUUUCAAUUUUCGAAAAAUUUAUCUUCACACCAUCCCCUUAAAGAUAAAAUGUUGACUUCAUCUUUUUAUAUUCAAACCAAAGUAACAUGUUUUUAAUAACUGUAAACCCUAUACUCUUAGAAAUCUAAAAACCUACUUCACUAAGAUGGAUG